AGAGUGAACGCUGGCGGUAGGCCUAACACAUGCAAGUCGAACGGCAGCACAGUGGUAGCAAUACCAUGGGUGGCGAGUGGCGGACGGGUGAGGAAUACAUCGGAAUCUACCUUUUCGUGGGGGAUAACGUAGGGAAACUUACGCUAAUACCGCAUACGCCCUUCGGGGGAAAGCCGGGGAUCGCAAGACCUGGCGCGGAUAGAUGAGCCGAUGUCGGAUUAGCUAGUUGGUGAGGUAAUGGCUCACCAAGGCGACGAUCCGUAGCUGGUCUGAGAGGAUGAUCAGCCACACUGGAACUGAGACACGGUCCAGACUCCUACGGGAGCAGCA
rnacentral:rRNA from 1 species